rnacentral:rRNA from 1 species
CACGUAGUUAGCCGGUGCUUAUUCUUCAGGUACCGUCGUUAGCACAGGAUAUUAGCCCGCACCGUUUCUUCCCUGACAAAAGAGCUUUACAACCCGAAGGCCUUCUUCACUCACGCGGCAUUGCUGGAUCAGGCUUGCGCCCAUUGUCCAAAAUUCCCCACUGCUGCCUCCCGUAGGAGUCUGGACCGUGUCUCAGUUCCAGUGUGGCUGGUCGUCCUCUCAGACCAGCUACUGAUCGAAGCCUUGGUAGGCUUUUACCCUACCAACUAGCUAAUCAGAUAUCGGCCGCUCCAGGAGCAUGAGGUUCUUGCGAAGCCCCCACUUUCAUCCUUAGAUCGUAUGCGGUAUUAGCGUAACUUUCGCUACGUUAUCCCCCACUCCAGGGUACGUUCCGAUAUAUUACUCACCCGUUCGCCACUCGCCACCAGGUUGCCCCGUGCUGCCGUUCGACUUGCAUGUGUAAGGCAUGCCGCCAGCGUUCAAUCUGAGCCAGGAUCAAA